AUGGGGCUGCAGCCCCUGGAGUUCAGCGACUGCUACCUCGACAGCCCGUGGUUCCGGGAGAGGAUCCGUGCCCACGAAGCGGAGCUGGAGAGGACCAACAAGUUCAUCAAAGAGCUCAUCAAGGACGGCAAGAACCUCAUCGCCGCGACCAAAAGUCUCUCGGCAGCCCAGCGGAAGUUCGCACACUCCCUCAGAGACUUCAAAUUUGAGUUUAUCGGAGAUGCAGAGACUGACGAUGAACGCUGCAUAGAUGCUUCCUUGCGUGAAUUUUCUAAUUUUUUGAAGAAUCUGGAAGAGCAGAGGGAGAUCAUGGCAUUAAGUGUCACCGAAACCCUGAUUAAACCCUUGGAAAAAUUCAGAAAAGAGCAACUCGGAGCUGUCAAGGAAGAAAAAAAGAAAUUUGACAAAGAGACUGAAAGGAACUACAGCCUAAUUGAUAAACAUUUGAAUUUGUCAGCAAAAAAGAAAGACUCACAUUUACAAGAGGCAGAUAUCCAAGUGGAACAGAAUCGGCAACACUUUUAUGAACUGUCUCUUGAAUAUGUGUGUAAGCUUCAGGAAACCCAAGAAAGGAAGAAGUUUGAGUUUGUGGAACCCAUGCUGUCGUUUUUUCAGGGAAUGUUUACUUUCUAUCAUCAGGGCCAUGAACUUGCCAAAGACUUCAAUCACUACAAAAUGGAACUACAGAUCAACAUUCAGAAUACACGGAAUCGUUUUGAAGGAACAAGGUCAGAAGUGGAAGAACUUAUGAACAAGAUCAGACAGAAUCCCAAGGACCACAAACGAGCAAGUCAGUUUACAGCGGAAGGCUACCUGUAUGUACAGGAGAAAAGGCCUCCUCCAUUCGGUUCCAGCUGGGUCAAACACUACUGCAUGUAUCGGAAGGCAGCCAAGAAGUUCACUAUGAUCCCGUUUGAGCACAGAUCCGGGGGGAAGCUUGGGGAUGGAGAGGUCUUCUUUUUGAAAGAAUGUAUCAGGAGACAUACUGACUCCAUCGACAGAAGGUUUUGCUUUGACGUGGAAGCUGCUGACCGGCCUGGUGUUUCCUUGACCAUGCAGGCGUUUUCGGAAGAAGAGAGGAAGCAGUGGCUGGAAGUUCUGGGUGGAAAAGAAGCUCUGUUCCCUAGUUUUAAUAGAGCCAUCAUCCCAAGACCAGAAGGAAGUGCACAGUUGGAUAAGAUGGGAUUCACAAUUCUUAGAAAAUGCAUCCAUGCAGUUGAAACACGAGGUAUAAAUGACCAAGGAUUGUAUAGAGUUGUGGGGGUGAGUUCAAAGGUCCAGAGACUUCUGAGUAUGUUGAUGGAUGUGAAGACCUGCAACGAGGUGGACCUGGACAAUUCCAUAGAUUGGGAAGUGAAGACAAUAACAAGUGCCUUGAAACAGUAUUUGAGGAGUCUUCCAGAGCCGCUGAUGACCUAUGAGUUACAUGGAGAUUUCAUUGUUCCAGCCAAGAGCGGCAGCCCGGAAUCUCGUGUUAAUGCCAUCCAUUUCUUGGUACACAAACUGCCAGAAAAAAAUAAAGAAAUGUUGGAUAUUUUGGUGAAACACUUAACGAAUGUUUCAAAUCACUCCAAGCAGAAUCUCAUGACCGUGGCAAAUUUAGGAGUGGUGUUUGGACCAACUCUCAUGAGGCCGCAGGAAGAGACUGUUGCUGCCCUCAUGGAUUUGAAGUUUCAGAACAUCGUUGUGGAAAUUUUAAUCGAAAACCAUGAAAAGAUUUUUAGGACCCCGCCUGAUGCCACAUUGCCUGAGCCAGGCCCCCUGUCAGCACCCCCAAAUGCUCCGCCAAGACAAUCGAAGAGGCAGGGCCAGAGGACUAAGAGACCCGUGGCCGUAUAUAAUCUCUGUCUUGAACUGGAAGAUGGUGACCGUCCCAAUCUUCCUAAGGAGGACACCCCUCCCAGCAGCCUGGACUCGCUUUCCUCUCCGUCUCCCAUGACUGCCGCUGCCCUUGGGCCCCCUGGACCAGACCGGAACCACCUGCUUACAGACGGGGGCAGCUCUGGGGACUGGGCAUCCACUGCCCCAAGCCAGGCCCGAUCAUCCACAGUCCAAUGGCUUAACCCUCAGUCUCCAACCACACCGAGCUGCAGCCCAGCUGUUACACCUCCUUCACCCAAGCUGUCACCGUUCCCCCUCUCUCUUCCUGCCACUGUCGUGGACAAGCCACCUGAAAGCGUCAUCAGUCGGAAGGCCCGGGCGGUGUACCCCUGUGAAGCAGAACACAGCUCGGAAUUGUCCUUCGAAAUUGGAGCGAUUUUUGAGGAUGUGCAAACCUCAAGGGAACCUGGCUGGCUGGAAGGGACUUUGAAUGGCAAGAGGGGGCUGAUUCCACAGAAUUACGUCAAGCUGCUGUAGCGCCUGGCCGCAGACCCUGGCCCCAGAGCACCUUCCUGGGAGCGGCGAGCGCCGUCCACCUCCUGGGCGGAACCCACGGCCACCUGGACACUCCAGGUUUGCAGCCAUGAAAUGGAGAGAGUGGUACCAGCCUCCCUGGAGGACUGUGACAAACGAUGAUGUGAAGCGUCUGGAGGGCACCCAGCAAGAAACGGGGUUUAGUAAAUGCGGAAGAUGGAAGAAGGCAACCACAGAGUCUGUAUUGCUGAAUGAAGUCCAGAGGAGCAGCCUGUAAGGAAUGUGAGGAGCAUUAUGACUGAUGGCUGAUGGAGUUUCUUGAAGCCCAAGAGGACCUGGGGUGAGAAUAAGACUCCACUGUGUGGAAGAGGACCUGGGAAUGAGACGGGGCAUCUGGUGUACUCAGGUGAGUCUGUAAACAAGCUUCCAUGUGGUUGUGAAGAUAAAUGAGGCCAUGUACAUAUCGAAUUUAGUGGCUACAUCAGCAGUAAUUAUUGUUAUAAAAUUGUCAUGGGGUAUAUUUCCGUGAACCAAAUAUUAGCACUAAGAAACAAAACAUUUCACCAGUCCCCCAAAAGAGUAAUUAAUAUGUGGAUAACACAGGGCUUCCUAACAUGGGUAGGGCGUGGGCAUAGUGAUUCCAUCUUGGAUGUAGGCAGAGGGGCAUAUGAUCCAUAUUUAAAAGGCCACAAAAUCCAUGUAUUCCUAUAGACGUGCAAAUGAACUGUUUCCAAAACAACAGGUGAUUAAAGUAAAGGAUUUAUUGUAAUCUGCUUACAGUCCUUUGCAAAGACAGACAUAUGUUUUUGCAUAAAGAUAUAAAUUGCUUCAUUUUAAACUAAUUUAGUGUGGUUUUUUUUUUAAUUAUAU